GCAGACCUCCCAUAUUUGGAGGAAACCUAGGGCCAGGAGGGACGGGAGAGAGACCAGGUGGAACACCAAGCAUAUUCAUAUCAACAGCUCGAGGUCCAGGCCAGACCACAGGCGGGGAAAAUGGUGGAAUGAAGACACCUGGAGAUAUUGGAGGGCCAGGAGCAGGUGACAUACUAGGGUUAAUUUGUUGCAUGGGUCCAGGAGGUGGCAUCCCGAGAUGAGCAAAAGGAGAUCCCAUCAUAGGCAUUGGGAGGCCCAUCUGUUGAUUGUCCCUCCCUGAAGGCCUCCCCCUUCCUCCUCUGCCCAUCCUACUCCCUUUCAUGCCUUGAGGAGGAACACGGCCAAAAC
rnacentral:lncRNA from 1 species